rnacentral:rRNA from 1 species
GAUGAACGCUAGCGACAGGCUUAACACAUGCAAGUCGAGGGGCAGCGAGGGAGUGGCAACACUUCUGUCGGCGACCGGCGCACGGGUGAGUAACGCGUAUGCAACCUGCCCUUCACAGGGGGAUAACCGGGAGAAAUUCCGACUAAUACCGCAUACGUCCUCCGGGGGCAUCCCCGGGGGAUGAAAGAGUUAUCGGUGAAGGAUGGGCAUGCGUGAUAUUAGGUAGUUGGCGGGGCAACGGCCCACCAAGCCCACGAUCAGUAGGGGUUCUGAGAGGAAGGUCCCCCACAUUGGAACUGAGACACGGUCCAAACUCCUACGGGGGGGCAGCAGUGAGGAAUAUUGGUCAAUGGGCGCGAGCCUGAACCAGCCCAGUAGCGUGCGGGAGGAAGGCCCUAUGGGGUUGGUAAAACCGCUUUUACCGGGGGAUAAAGUGAGCGACGUGUCGCUCAUUGCAGGUACCCGGCGAAUAAGGACCGGCUAAUUCCGUG